CAGGCCAAAAUCGGCAAAAACAACUUUCUAUGAAACACUUUCUGAUGCAACAAGGGCAGAACGAUCCGACGACUACAGUGCUAUCGAUCAUGCCUCAGCCAAUGUGCAUAGUGCAGGUACCAGCUCCAGAGUACCAAAGCCGAAAGGAAAUCGAACAUUACCGAACUAAGUGUCCGCGAAAAAUAAUGUUUUUUGUUUUGUUGUUGUUGUUUUCUUCAUAUUAAGCAUUAAACGGAAAACAGCACUCAUGCACGUAAGCGCAUUUGAUAUAAUAUCAAUUAUUGUAGUUAUUUAUGGUUGGUUGUUUGCGUGUUUCAUACUUCUUUGUAGAGUGUAUGUACUAUAACUAUGUGUCUCAUAUGCAGUUAUAGUGUUCAUACUGUUCAAUAUAAUUGUGUAUGUAAAUGAACUGACUCUUAACCAGACAUGUUUACAUAAGUUUUACAUAUACUAAAAUUUUAAAACACUAAAUGAAAAUUUUUAUGUGUUCAACUUCGUAAAUAUUGUGUAAAUUAUUUAUAGUACAACUCGUAGCAGUUUAUUAAAAGCCUCGUUCGCAGCAUGCGAUGUAAAUACGCUGUACCAUAUUGUAAAAUGUAAUCUUCGUUUGAUUAAAUAUUACACUGA